CCUACGGGAGGCAGCAGUAGGGAAUCUUCCGCAAUGGAUGAAAGUCUGACGGAGCAACGCCGCGUGAACGAUGAAGGCCUUCGGGUCGUAAAGUUCUGUUGUUAGGGAAGAACAAGUGCUAGUUGAAUAAGCUGGCACCUUGACGGUACCUAACCAGAAAGCCACGGCUAACUACGUGCCAGCAGCCGCGGUAAUACGUAGGUGGCAAGCGUUGUCCGGAAUUAUUGGGCGUAAAGCGCGCGCAGGCGGUUUCUUAAGUCUGAUGUGAAAGCCCCCGGCUCAACCGGGGAGGGUCAUUGGAAACUGGGAAACUUGAGUGCAGAAGAGGAAAGUGGAAUUCCAAGUGUAGCGGUGAAAUGCGUAGAGAUUUGGAGGAACACCAGUGGCGAAGGCGACUUUCUGGUCUGUAACUGACGCUGAGGCGCGAAAGCGUGGGGAGCAAACAGGAUUAGAUACCCUGGUAGUCCACGCUGUAAACGAUGAGUGCUAAGUGUUAGAGGGUUUCCGCCCUUUAGUGCUGAAGUUAACGCAUUGAGCACUCCGCCUGGGGAGUACGGUCGCAAGACNGAACACAAGAAGUAGAGNGAGAGACGCGACGACGACGACGAGGAGGAGGAGG
rnacentral:rRNA from 1 species